rnacentral:rRNA from 1 species
AUUGAACGCUGGCGGCAUGCCUUACACAUGCAAGUCGAACGGCAGCAUGGGUGCUUGCACCUGAUGGCGAGUGGCGAACGGGUGAGUAAUGCAUCGGAACGUACCCGGAAGUGGGGGAUAACGUAGCGAAAGUUACGCUAAUACCGCAUAUUCUGUGAGCAGGUAAGUGGGGGAUCGCAAGACCUCGCGCUUCCGGAGCGGCCGGUGUCGGAUUAGCUAGUUGGCGGGGUAAAGGCCCACCAAGGCAACGAUCCGUCGCGGGUCUGAGAGGAUGAUCCGCCACACUGGGACUGAGACACGGCCCAGACUCCUACGGGAGGCAGCAGUGGGGAAUUUUGGACAAUGGGGGCAACCCUGAUCCAGCCAUGCCGCGUGAGUGAAGAAGGCCUUCGGGUUGUAAAGCUCUUUCGGCCGGGAAGAAAUCGCACAGGUUAAUACCUUGUGUGGAUGACGGUACCGGAAUAAGAAGCACCGGCUAACUACGUGCCAGCAGCCGCAGUAACAC